rnacentral:rRNA from 1 species
GAUGAACGCUGGCGGCGUGCCUAAUACAUGCAAGUCGAGCGAACGGACGAGAAGCUUGCUUCUCUGAUGUUAGCGGCGGACGGGUGAGUAACACGUGGAUAACCUACCUAUAAGACUGGGAUAACUUCGUGAAACCGGAGCUAAUACCGGAUAAUAUUUUGCACCGCAUGGUUCAAAAGUGAAAGACGGUCUUGCUGUCACUUAUAGAUGUAUCCGCGCUGCAUUAGCUAGUUGGUAAGGUAACGGCUUACCAAGGCAACGAUGCAUAGCCGACCUGAGAGGGUGAUCGGGCACACUGGAACUGAGACACGGUACAGACUCCUACGGGAGGCAGCAGUAGGGAAUCUUCCGCAAUGGGCGAAAGCAUGACGGAGCAACGCAGAGUGAGAGAUGAAGGUCUUCGGAUCGUAAAACUCUGUUAUGAGGGAAGAAAAUAUGUGUAAGUAACUGUGCACAUCUUGACGGUACCUAAUCAGAAAGCCACGGCUAACUACGUG